CCUACGGGUGGCAGCAGUGGGGGAUAUUGCACAAUGGGGGAAACCCUGAUGCAGCGACGCCGCGUGGGUGAAGAAGCGCUUCGGCGCGUAAAGCCCUGUCAGCAGGGAAGAAAAUGACGGUACCUGAACAAGAAGCCCCGGCCAACUACGUGCCAGCAGCCGCGGUAAUACGUAGGGGGCAAGCGCUAUCCGGAUUUACUGGGUGUAAAGGUGGCGUAGACGGCGGUGCAAGGCAGGCGUGAAAGCCCAGGGCUCAACCCCGGGACUGCUCUUGAAACUGGGUGGCGGGAGUGCAGGAGAGGAAAGCGGAAUGCCUGGUGUAGCGGUGAAAUGCGUAGAUAUCAGGAGGAACACCAGUGGCGAAGGCGGCCUGCUGGACUGCAACUGACGUUGAGGCCCGAAAGCGUGGGGAGCAAACAGGAUUAGAUACCCGGGUAGUC
rnacentral:rRNA from 1 species